CUGCCUGCAACGCGGCAGACCUGGGCUCGAUCCCUGGGUCAGGAAGAUCCCCUGGAGAAGGAAAUGGCAACCCACUCCAGUGUUCUUGCCUGGAGAAUUCCAUGGACAGAGGAGCCUGGUGGGCUAUACAGUUCAUGGGGUUGCAAAGAGUAGGACACGACUGAAGCGGCAGAGCAGUUCUGGAGGCUGGGAAAUCCAGGAUGAAGGCAUUGGUGGAUUCAGUGUCUGAUUGCUUUUCUCAAUCUCUCAGUCUCCAUGCUGAAGGACAGCCACCAAGACCUUCAGAGAUUUAUCUACUGAAAAUGCAGAUACUUCAAGAAAGAUUCAUCUGUUUCCUGUGUGUCAAUGCCAACUCUCCUUAAGAAGUGAGUACGUGGCCCAGCCACGUGGAUACUGAGCUCCUGACUGGAGUGUUCCAGCUGGAUCCAUCUGCACCAGGCCUGCGUCCCUGGGCAGAGCUUUAUCCAGUUCCUACUCUGGUUUCUGAUCUGGGCCCUCUUGCUUGCCCACUUUACCCACUUGACCCUUUACUCUCAUUUCUCCCUGUGAUGAGUGAACUCAACAUUCUUCCUAGCCAAGCACUCAGACCACAGGCAAAAGGACACCAUGCUCACCUCCAUGUCCCCAGGCCCACCCUCACUCUGGCUUUCAUGCUGAGCCACGUGGCCAGCCCUCAGCAAGUUCCGCGCAGCCUGGCCCAACAGGAAGGAGACUGUGGAAUCUACUCCAGCCCCCUUGACUUCCCUGCCCAGGCAACCAAAAGUC
ensembl:lncRNA